rnacentral:lncRNA from 1 species
ACACAAUGCUCAUUACCACAAACACUGAUCAAGUUUGAAUUUUGGUGGAGUCAUUUUUACUGCUCUAGGGUUGUGCCUCGUUACAAAUGUAACCAGAUGCUCCGCAGGGCACAGCUUUAUAUGACUGCAAUGGUCGAAGCCUGAACAGUUGGGUCAAGUAUGGACACAACAUUCAAGCUUGAUACAGCUCUGAAUUUGGAUUGCG